rnacentral:rRNA from 1 species
AUGUGGCUCGUUUCUACUAUUAUCCGGUUUACAUGGUGCCCCACUGGUAAUAGAACGAACCCAUUUUCUAGGGCAGGGGCUGCUGCCAAGGUCGACGCACAAGUCAAUUUACAAACAAAACCAGUUCAGGAAUUGCUUGACCUCGAUUUGUUUGAAGACCAGCUACCCAGUGAUGGUGGUUCUGUUUUUGCAGCAUGCCAUAAGUCGUCAGCGCCUUGUGCAGCUGCGUAUAAGUGCUCAGACCCUGACUGCAAUGGGAUGGAUGCGUUCCUAGCUGAUGAUGUCAGUGAUACUUUGCAAGGAGAUAUGUCGCCUUCACAUGGACUUGCUGCUGUUCAGAAAACUGAAGACAUCCCCACUCCGGGUCUGACCACGACACCACCUCCUAAGAGCGAGACGGGAGGCUCUUUGAAGGAAAAUAGAGCACCACAUCACUCGGAGCUGCUGAACUUGUCCGAAGCGACGUCGCUCUUCUUUAAGAUGCUUGCCAGAGCUAAUUUAGGUCAUUGUACAGCGAAGUGCCAUCUUAUCUUGGCUGAAGAAACAGUCCUGCAUCGCUUCUGGGCGUGUCCGCAUUCAGCUAUGUUCUGGAAGGUGUUAAGCUCGGAGAAAGGGAAUCCGGUGGCGAUCCCGCCGGUGUCUGACGGACCCCAUGGAGAGCUUGCCUUGUGGCUGCUGCGAUGGUUUGUUGAUGCCGGUGACCAGGAGCGGGAGUUAAUGGUUCAGGCUGCGUACGGUCUUUGGCUCGCAAGGAAUGAAGCGAGGGAUGGAAAAAGACUGUGGACCCUAGGGUGGUUGCAGAGAAUAUCAGCAUAUCAUAGAAUGGACAGCCAUUCAUACAAAGCAACCGAGGUGCUCCUCUCCAGCACCGGAGCAAGGGUGGCUCAAGGCAAACUCAGACGGAGUUCUGUGGGGCGCCUGCAGCUGGCGAUCCAUGCUGGAGCUACCAGGGUGCACGUUGAAGUCGACAGCAAGGGAGUGACGGCCAUGUUGAAUGACCAGGCAAAAAACAUAAGUGCGGCAGGACUGUUCGUUGAAGAAAUUAAGCUGCUGGGAAGGUGUAGGGUGAUUAUAAAGCUUGAUGAUGAUUCUAAAAAAAAAAUCCCGUAUGCCUGUGCUGCAAAUGCACGAUGCUGCAACAAGGCAGGUGUUGCGCUAGGCGGGCAAGUGCACGCUGCUGCAACAAGGCAAGCGUUCCUCUAG